GGAACGUUAUCGGGAUACUGGGGCGUAAGCGUGUGUAGGCGGUUCGGAAAGAAAGAUGUGAAAUCCCAGGGCUCAACCUUGGAACUGCAUUUUUAACUGCCGAGCUAGAGUAUGUCAGAGGGGGGUAGAAUUCCACGUGUAGCAGUGAAAUGCGUAGAUAUGUGGAGGAAUACCGAUGGCGAAGGCAGCCCCCUGGGAUAAUACUGACGCUCAGACACGAAAGCGUGGGGAGCAAACAGGAUUAGAUACCCUGGUAGUCCACGCCCUAAACGAUGUCAACUAGCUGUUGGGGCCGUUAGGCCUUAGUAGCGCAGCUAACGCGUGAAGUUGACCGCCUGGGGAGUACGGUCGCAAGAUUAAAACUCAAAGGAAUUGACGGGGACCCGCACAAGCGGUGGAUGAUGUGGAUUAAUUCGAUGCAACGCGAAAAACCUUACCUACCCUUGACAUGUCUGGAAAGCCGAAGAGAUUUGGCCGUGCUCGCAAGAGAACCGGAACACAGGUGCUGCAUGGCUGUCGUCAGCUCGUGUCGUGAGAUGUUGGGUUAAGUCCCGCAACGAGCGCAACCCUUGUCAUUAGUUGCUACGCAAGAGCACUCUAAUGAGACUGCCGGUGACAAACCGGAGGAAGGUGGGGAUGACGUCAAGUCCUCAUGGCCCUUAUGGGUAGGGCUUCACACGUCAUACAAUGGUCGGGACAGAGGGUCGCCAACCCGCGAGGGGGAGCCAAUCUCAGAAACCCGAUCGUAGUCCGGAUCGCAGUCUGCAACUCGACUGCGUGAAGUCGGAAUCGCUAGUAAUCGCGGAUCAGAAUGUCGCGGUGAAUACGUUCCCGGGUCUUGUACACACCGCCCGUCACACCAUGGGAGUGGGUUUCACCAGAAGUAGGUAGCCUAACCGUAAGGAGGGCGCUUACCACGGUGGGAUUCAUGACUGGGGUGAAGUCUAAGGGGGGGGGGCCCGCAUAAAAAG
rnacentral:rRNA from 1 species